rnacentral:sRNA from 1 species
AAGAACGGGUUACGAUUUCUCUCGUAACCCGCCUCAUUAUUCAAACAAUCAUAGGUAUCCUAACUUUUGGAAUAUACGAUAAGACAAGG